rnacentral:rRNA from 1 species
AUUGAACGCUGGCGGCAUGCUUUACACAUGCAAGUCGAACGGCAGCGCGGGGCAACCUGGCGGCGAGUGGCGAACGGGUGAGUAAUAUAUCGGAACGUACCCAAGAGUGGGGGAUAACGUAGCGAAAGUUACGCUAAUACCGCAUACGAUCUAAGGAUGAAAGUGGGGGAUCGCAAGACCUCAUGCUCCUGGAGCGGCCGAUAUCUGAUUAGCUAGUUGGUGAGGUAAAGGCUCACCAAGGCGACGAUCAGUAGCUGGUCUGAGAGGACGACCAGCCACACUGGAACUGAGACACGGUCCAGACUCCUACGGGAGGCAGCAGUGGGGAAUUUUGGACAAUGGGCGCAAGCCUGAUCCAGCAAUGCCGCGUGAGUGAAGAAGGCCUUCGGGUUGUAAAGCUCUUUUGUCAGGGAAGAAACGGUAGAGGCUAAUAUCCUUUGCUAAUGACGGUACCUGAAGAAUAAGCACCGGCUAACUAC